rnacentral:lncRNA from 1 species
AUAUAUAUAUAUAUAUAUAUAUAUAUAUCAAAUGAACCGAUUUGGCUCAGUGAAUCAAUUCAGUGUAAUUAAACCAGUGUAAUUAAACCAAACCAGAAUUUUGAUCCAAUUAGACCUAUAUUCUAAAAAAAUUUAUAUCACAAAUAUCAUUUUAUAUAUUCUAAACAAUUGAACCUAUGCACAAGUGGCUUUUUAUUUUUUAUUGAAAGAUGCCCUAGAGGAAUAACGACUUCACAUGCGGCCCUAUUUUUCUUAAUGAGAAGGAUAUGCAUUGAUGCAUACAAAUCAACAAAGGAAUCAUACAAAUAAACAAAGGGAUUGUUAACGAAGAAGGAUGACAAAAAAAUAAGACUCAUAUCCGCAGAGACAAAGGAAGGGCGGUGAACUCGUCGAGUUUGGGAAGAGAUUUUAGUAGGAUUUUUGGGGCUUUUGGGUUGAGUUAGUAUUUUUUUAAAUUAAAAUUGGUUGGGUCCGAACCAGUUAACCUAAUUGAAGAAAAGUACCCUUCCAAAUUGAAAUCAUUUAUAGCAUUCAAAACUGAAUUAUUAAUGAACCGAUUCGAUUCAGGUUUGAUUUGGUUCAGUUUUUCGAUUUGAUUUGAAUACCCAUAGCGACUGCAGCUUUUUCUUUCCAAGGGAUUGAAACUAUAUUUAAGGGAGUAGAUUCUUUUAAUAUUGAGGUAAGAUCUUGUGCUUACUGUGACUGGUAGAACAUCUGUAGUGCAGUGCAUUUUGUUGGACAAUGCAAUUACAUCAUAGAAACGAGUCUGGUGCUACAGUAUUUUAGCUUGGAGGCAUUUUUAUUUCUUUUUUGACAGAAUGAUGCAUUUCCUUUGAACUCUUUGCAUUGCUAUGGACUCCAGGGGCUUGAUACUGUGCCAUAGAUUCACUCAGGAUUGGUUUAUAUAGCUUCUUAACAUUUGUGCAUUGUGAAGGAGCAUUUCUAAGUAAAAAGACUCUCAGUAGUGGCUUUAAAAAUAUUCAGGA